CUUUGACUCUAAUAAGACUAUAUCUAUUUUAUGCAAAUUAGCAAUAUGCUAAUUUGAGACAUGACCUCGCUGUUUGCCAGAGAAAAUCAGUUUCUUCUUUGAUCUGCAUAUUAAUGACCAAAGAAGAGAUGGAAGUUGAGACAUGAAAGGGUUUAAUAAAAUCAGUAGGUAAAAUGCAGCCUCAUAAUUAAUCCCUCAAAGAGGAAGACUUCCAUAGACAAUUGUCGCACCUCAGGUUCAUAAUUGGGCUCUUUAUUGAUAUUCCACAGCUUCUCUUUCACAUCACCGGAAACAAUGAUUAAUCUUACACAUGAAGGUGGGAGAAAUUGCACAACUUUAUUCAGUACCUCUGGCACACAGGGAGGAAUCUUGAAUUAUUUCACAGUCAACCCUGCGGCAAUGUUAUUCACAAACAAACAAAGUUACUGACCAAACUCAUUUUUCAGCAAGAAAUACAAAUGUGGGUGCAUUUUGGGGGCUUUUUGUGCGAUUUUCUGUCAUUGAGUUUGCUCUACCUAACCUCUCCUGACACCUGGAGUUAGGGACCCCCCUCCAAAUGUGUAAUAUUCAAUCUUCCUGACAGCUCUGCUAAUGACCAGAAGGAACCAAAACAGAGCUAAUAGGUGAGCCUCAAAAUUGCUUUCAAAUUAUGCCUGAUAAUGAUUCCCGUCCAAGUAAUAAACUCUUUGGUGUGUGUGUGUGAGACGGGGUUUGUGUGUGUGACUGUGUGCAUGAGUGAGUGGCAGUGUGUUUAUGUCAGAAGAAUGUAGAAUGGCAGGGCUAAUUAUCAGCACUAUUAAAGGUAAGUACAUCCAGCUGCAUCCCGGACAAGCCCUAAUGAAGGACAGCAGACAAGUUGGGCUCUUUCAUCUGUCUUGUGUUGUCGGGCAGCGCCCACACCUCUGGAGACUCUCACCCACUUUUCCAUCAACUCUGACUUUGAAGGAGAAGUCACACAUCUCGCCGUGGAAGUACUGGAAUUCAUUUAUUUCAGACGGCCAUUGAGAACAAUGAAAGACCAAAGAACUUUAUUACAUUGCUGCCACUCACAUUCCAAACUGUGCUGUUCCCCAAACUAUUUCAAUCCUCUGUUUUCCAGAUGUUCACAAAUCAAAUUUCACCAGGAAUGUUGAAAGGGAUGUAAGCAAAGUUGUUCUGUAGGUUUAAGCCCCACUCCAAUGAGAGGGAGACCACAUCUGAUGUAAAUAAAGGAAAAAAAAUGUU